rnacentral:rRNA from 1 species
AGAGUUUGAUCCUGGCUCAGGAUGAACGCUAGCGGCAGGCUUAACACAUGCAAGUCGAGGGGUAACAGCUUGCACAGAUGACGACCGGCGCACGGGUGCGUAACGCGUAUAGAAUUUGCCUUAUACUGGAGAAUAGCCCGAAGAAAUUUGGAUUAAUGCUCCAUAGCAUUAUAGACUGGCAUCAGUUUAUAAUUAAAGCUCCGGCGGUAUAAGAUGACUAUGCGUUCUAUUAGUUAGUUGGUGAGGUAAUAGCUCACCAAGACUUCGAUAGAUAGGGGCCCUGAGAGGGGGAUCCCCCACACUGGUACUGAGACACGGACCAGACUCCUACGGGAGGCAGCAGUGAGGAAUAUUGGGCAAUGGAGGAAACUCUGACCCAGCCAUGCCGCGUGAAGGAAGAAGGUCCUAUGGAUUGUAAACUUCUUUUAUAUAGGAAGAAAUACAGGUACGUGUACUUGUUUGACGGUACUAUAUGAAUAAGCACCGGCUAACUCCGUGCCAGCAGCCGCGGUAAUACGGAGGGUGCAAGCGUUAUCCGGAAUCAUUGGGUUUAAAGGGUCCGUAGGCGGGCAAUUAAGUCAGAAGUGAAAUCCCACAGCUCAACUGUGGAACUGCUUUUGAUACUGGUUGUCUUGAGUCAUACUGAAGUAGAUAGAAUGUGUAGUGUAGCGGUGAAAUGCAUAGAUAUUACACAGAAUACCGAUUGCGAAGGCAGUCUACUAAGUAUGUACUGACGCUGAUGGACGAAAGCGUGGGGAGCGAACAGGAUUAGAUACCCUGGUAGUCCACGCCGUAAACGAUGGAUACUAACUGUUGGGACUUCGGUCUCAGUGGUCAAGCGAAAGUGAUAAGUAUCCCACCUGGGGAGUACGGUCGCAAGAUUGAAACUCAAAGGAAUUGACGGGGGCCCGCACAAGCGGAGGAACAUGUGGUUUAAUUCGAUGAUACGCGAGGAACCUUACCUGGGCUUAAAUGUAGAGUGCAUAAACGGGAAACUGUUUUUUCCUUCGGGACUUUACAAGGUGCUGCAUGGUUGUCGUCAGCUCGUGCCGUGAGGUGUCGGGUUAAGUCCCAUAACGAGCGCAACCCCUAUCGUUAGUUGCCAGCGAGUCAAGUCGGGGACUCUAACGAGACUGCCGGUGUAAACCGCGAGGAAGGUGGGGAUGACGUCAAAUCAGCACGGCCCUUACGUCCAGGGCUACACACGUGUUACAAUGGCCGAUACAAAGGGCAGCUACCAGGUGACUGGAUGCUAAUCUCUAAAGUCGGUCUUAGUUCGGAUCGAAGUCUGCAACUCGACUUCGUGAAGCUGGAUUCGCUAGUAAUCGUAGAUCAGCAACGCUACGGUGAAUACGUUCCCGGGCCUUGUACACACCGCCCGUCAAGCCAUGGAAGUUGGGGGUACCUGAAGUCUGUCACCGUAAGGAGCGGCCUAGGGUAAAACUGAUAACUGGGGCUAAGUCGUAACAAGGUAGCC